CCCACCGUGGGCUCUAGUGGGGAGGAGUUGGAGGGGAGUGGGGAGCGGAGACCUGGAGAGGCCGGCUGGACAGAAGGAUGAAGGACAAAGCGCCCAGAGGCAGUGAGACGUCGGGCUGGGGUUCCUCUCCCCCACCCCCCAGCCCCAGGAGCCCAGGCCUUCCCAUCUCUGUGGAUCUCCCUCUUGGCUGACAGACAGCCAUCCCGGGAGGCAAGGUCAGGGAGCGAGUGGGUGAGCACAGAAGAUUCCUUUCCUGCCAGCAGGUCAACAUGGCAUCCGGCGUUUGAGGGACUCUGUGCCAAAGCCAGGAGUGCUCUCCUGGGUCAAGGCCACGGCUCUCCCCUCACCCUUCCGGGAGGCGGGCAGAGCUCCCCCGAGCCUCUGGGCCCAGCCGCCCUCAGACGAGCUGAUACAGGAAGGAACAGUGGAAGGUGACCCGUGAGCACGCAUGUCUGUCGCCGCAGGUGAACCCCAGCCUAGGGCCCUGCUCCAAGACCUGCAGAGCUCCUCGUUCGCAGUUUCGGGGCACACAGAUGUACUCGCUUUGUUUCCGACAUCCGGUCGCAGUCGCGAGGACGGCUCUCCAGGAAGAUGUGUUUAGUGAGCUGGGUCCCCACCUGCCUGCCUUUGUCUCCUGGGCGGCAGCAGGUGGACAGUGCCAACUCUGGAGACACGUUUGGGGCUCAGCACAGGGGCGGUGUGGGGGCAAUGGGAACUGGGCAUGAGGAAAACCCCAGAGCAAGGCCCCAGGAGAAGACCUGCGAGCGUGUGCAGUUUCUAGCCAAGCAGGGCUGUCACACGCCUCAGAUCGCACCCUGAGUGUCACGGUGUCAAGAAAGCAGCUCUGGGGGCGCCGGGGUGGCUCAGUGGGUUAAGCCUCUGCCUUCGGCUCAGAUCAUGGUCC